ACUUAAAAUAAAUUUGUCCUGAUCUUGUCUGAUCUCAGAAGCUAAUCAGGGUUGGGCCUGGUUAGUACUUAGAUGGGAGACCACCUAGGAAGACCAGGCGCUGUAGGUG
rnacentral:rRNA from 1 species